rnacentral:rRNA from 1 species
CCGGCACGGGUGAGUAACACGUAUGCAAUCCACCUGUAACAGGGGGAUAACCCGGAGAAAUCCGGACUAAUACCCCAUAAUAUGGGCGCUCCGCAUGGAGAGCCCAUUAAAGAGAGCAAUUUUGGUUACAGACGAGCAUGCGCUCCAUUAGCCAGUUGGCGGGGUAACGGCCCACCAAAGCGACGAUGGAUAGGGGUUCUGAGAGGAAGGCCCCCACAUUGGAACUGAGACACGGUCCAA